GGAGAGGUGGCUGAGUGGUCGAUAGCGCUCGCCUCGAAAGCGAGUAGGUGGGCAGCCCCCGCCUCGCGGGUUCGAAUCCCGCCCUCUCCGCCA
rnacentral:tRNA from 1 species